rnacentral:rRNA from 1 species
ACGGGGUGCAGCAGGCGCGAAAACUUCACACUGUGCGAAAGCACGAUGAGGGAAUCCCAAGUGCUGGCUCGUGAGAGUCAGCUGUUUCUCUGUCUAGAAAACAGAGAGAGUAAGGGCUGGGUAAGACGGGUGCCAGCCGCCGCGGUAAUACCUGCAGCCCAAGUGGUGGCCGCUAUUAUUGGGCCUAAAACGUCCGUAGCCGGUCUAGUAAAUGCCUAGGUAAAUCGUACGGCUUAACCGUACGAAUUCCGGGUAGACUGCUGGACUUGGGACUGGGAGAGGCUAGAGGUACUCCUGGGGUAGAGGUGAAAUUCUGUAAUCCUAGGGGGACGACCAGUGGCGAAGGCGUCUAGCUAGAACAGGUCUGACGGUGAGGGACGAAGCCCUGGGGCGCAAACGGGAUUAGAUACCCCGGUAGUCCAGGGUGUAAACGCUGCCUGCUUGAUGUUAGUCGGGCUCCGAGCCCGAUUAGUGUCGGAGAGAAGUUGUUAAGCAAGCUGCCUGGGGAGUACGGCCGCAAGACUGAAACUUAAAGGAAUUGGCGGGGGAGCAC